ACGUAGGGCGCAAGCGUUAUCCGGAUUUAUUGGGCGUAAAGAGCUCGUAGGCGGUUUGUCGCGUCUAUCGUGAAAGUCCGAGGCUCAACCUCGGAUCUGCGGUGGGUACGGGCAGACUAGAGUGAUGUAGGGGAGACUGGAAUUCCUGGUGUAGCGGUGGAAUGCGCAGAUAUCAGGAGGAACACCGAUGGCGAAGGCAGGUCUCUGGGCCGCAACUGACGCUGAGGAGCGAAAGCAUGGGGAGCGAACAGGA
rnacentral:rRNA from 1 species